UACGGGGGGGGGCAAGCGUUGUUCGGAAUUACUGGGCGUAAAGGGCUCGUAGGCGGCCAACUAAGUCAGACGUGAAAUCCCUCGGCUUAACCGGGGAACUGCAUCUGAUACUGGAUGGCUUGAGUUCGGGAGAGGGAUGCGGAAUUCCAGGUGUAGCGGUGAAAUGCGCAGAUAUCAGGAGGAACACCGGUGGCGAAGGCGGGUCUCUGGGCCGAUACUGACGCUGAGGAGCGAAAGCGUGGGGAGCAAACAGG
rnacentral:rRNA from 1 species